CAUUCAUCAGUAAUGGUUCUUGUGAUAUUGCAGGACACAAAUAAAUAUUAAUAAAUCCGGUUUGCUGUCGUUGUGACAGCCUCUUGUUCUUACAUUCUUUGAGGCAAUAUUGUAAAAUCUGAGGGAUUUCAAGGUAAAACUUUUUUUUUUUUUUUUGCUAGUGUUUGCUAAAUGUAUCCCUCAUUUUGGGUCGAAAAAGAUUUUAAUUCUGGGGUACAGAGGGUACGAGAAAUACCACAAAGGACCUACUUAGUGCACUUAGACCUGAAUUAGUAUAAGGGACCUGAUGGAAUGAUACGAUUGUCACAAAGGACAUACCAUAUAGAAGUAGACUUUGUAAUAAUACAUAAUUUCAAACUGUAUAAUCAUAUCUUUAGUAAUUAGAAAGUGAUUGAAUGUUUUAUUAACACUCACCAAACUCAGUUGAUUGUCACUUACAAAUGUGUGUAUUGAUAGAAAUUUAUGUUUGUUCAAUCUUGACUUGUCUAGAAUCUGCUUGUAUACUGUUUAAACAUGUAUUAGUAUGUGGUAUUUUAAAUGGUUCAAUUUUUUUGUUUGUUUGUUACUGCCAUAUUUAUAUAUUUUGUAUUUCUGUCUGUUAUAUUUUAAACUUCUAUGUGAUUGUGUAUUUCUACUUUGUUUUUGUUCUUUUUUGUUUUGUUUGCUUGUUUGUUUAGAUCAUUUU
rnacentral:lncRNA from 1 species